GUGAACGCUGGCGGUAGGCCUAACCCAUGCAAGUCGAGCGGCAGCACAGUAAGAGCUUGCUCUUACGGGUGGCGAGUGGCGGACGGGUGAGGAAUACAUCGGAAUCUACUUUUUCGUGGGGGAUAACGUAGGGAAACUUACGCUAAUACCGCAUACGACCUACGGGUGAAAGCAGGGGAUCUUCGGACCUUGCGCGAUUGAAUGAGCCGAUGUCGGAUUAGCUAGUUGGCGGGGUAAAGGCCCACCAAGGCGACGAUCCGUAGCUGGUCUGAGAGGAUGAUCAGCCACACUGGAACUGAGACACGGUCCAGACUCCUACGGGAGGCAGCAGUGGGGAAUAUUGGACAAUGGGCGCAAGCCUGAUCCAGCCAUACCGCGUGGGUGAAGAAGGCCUUCGGGUUGUAAAGCCCUUUUGUUGGGAAAGAAAAGCAGCAGGUUAAUACCCCGCUGUUCUGACGGUACCCAAAGAAUAAGCACCGGCUAACUUCGUG
rnacentral:rRNA from 1 species